CCUAGAGUCUUUUCUCCUUGUGUAUGUUUUAUGGAAAUUAAUUUGUGGGCUCCAUGGUUUUUAUGCAGAUUCUAUGCAUGAAAAAUGAGCCACUGUUUGAAAAUUGAAAUUACUUCCAAUUAGUUUUUUUUAUCUAAACCUAGACAGUCUUUUUUAAUCAGUGCACAGUGCUUAUACAUGCAAAAAAUGGGAAUUUUUGUCUUCGGGCAAGAAUAACAACUGAAUAUUUACUUGGGCUCAAGUGGAGUUUUCUAUUUUCUCUAGAAUUAAAUCACACAUAAUCCAGUAAAACGUUCUAGGAAAAGAAGAAGAAAACUCUUAUGGUGCUUUCCAUGUUAUGUGAUGCAGAACUUUUAGAUGGACGAUCCACCUGAGAACUGACAAAGUGGCUGAUUUGCACCUCACAGACCGUUCGUACCACGAUGACGCUGCAGCGGUUUGAGCUGCUUUGUGAUCUGCACAGUCUCUUGUUCACCACCGAGAUCAAUCAGAGCCGCUCAUGCACUUGACUCACGUUUUUUUUUAAAAAGCGAAACAGUGGAUAAGUCACUUUUUUCUUCCUGCUCUUUAUGGCGUCCACCUCCCGGCUUGACUUCUUUCAGGCUGCCGCCAUGUGCGCGGGCUGAAGGACUGGUGAGGCGACGUCUGCGAGACUGUGGAAGUGGAUCAACAGGAGAGGAGCCCGACGAAGUUGUAGAGACACAAAGGAACAUGAUGGGAACACUCUGCUGCUCCUGUCGGGUGAGGUGAAGUGAGGGGGACGGGGACAGGUGGGACGGGUGCCGCGGUUUCACCACGGUCACCGGCGGACCACAGGUAAUGGGAAGGAGAAGAAUAAAUCCACAACUCGGCGCCAGCUGGAGCACAAGUGGAGGAGCAGCUGAAGAGGAAUUUGACAAGGUGGAGAGGUAAAACUUGAAAAGGGUAUUUCACUGGUUUACGAGCUCUCGUAAAACGAACCGCUUACUCUCUGCCAGACACAAUGGUGGCUCCAUCUUCCAUCUUAAAUCCUCCAAAACCCCAAUCAAAUUUUCCAAAAACAGAUCAAACGCGUCAGGCUGGAAUGUGUCUAAAAUGACACAAACUAAUAUUUUUGGAAUAUUUAUCUUCACUGUAAUCAUGUAACCAUAAAAACACUGUGUGAGU
rnacentral:lncRNA from 1 species